UCUCUGUGCUAUGAAGAAUUCCAGAGUGAAAGUUCAAGUGCAGGGAGAGACCCGUCAGCAUGGCUGUUCCUGCCUUUCCUUCUGGGAUCUGAUAUUCUAAUGAGAUGGGCUUCUGAGUCCAGCCCACGUUCCCUGACUGCAAUGGCAUGAGAGAGCUCAGACUACCUUUGUGCUGUAUGAACAAGUGCUAUUUGAUCCACAAAGCUCAAGAUCCCACAAUUGAAAAUGAUUUAUAAAGUAAGAUCAAAAACAUGUGCACUGCAGGAUUUACCAAAGCAUUGGCAUUGUCACUUUCUGAAGAAGCUGCCACUGUUUUGUCAGAAGAAAAGGGACAACUUGUUAAUACCUAUCUAAAUCGUAAUCCAGAAAUAUUUGGAGUCUUCCAGUGGAUUAAGAAACAAACAAACAAACAAACAAGAAGAAUAUUUCUUCCUGUCCUUCAGGUGAUUAUUGUUUAAUGGGGCUAAAAACUUGCACACAUUGUUACAAAUAUUGAAUGUCUCACCUCUAACUGGUGGGAAAGUGAUUUCAGAUAAAUCUUGAAAAACGAAGUGGUGUGGAUCUUAAAAAACAAACAAACAAACAAAAAAACUUACACAGUAGACAUGAAGGGGGGGAAGUAUAUGCUUGUUUCACCCAUUUAAAAACACAGUGUGUUUAGAAAAUGGUGAAAUAUGUUGUGUGGUUGAAAUGUAAGCAUGUUUUUAUAAAUAAGUAUGGAAAGAUGCUACUAAAAUAUGGUUUUGUAGGCUAGACUAUGGAUACCCUUGUAUAUUCAACUGACACUUAAUUAUCCUACCUUAUUCUAUAGCCUUCUUCUAGGAAAAGACCCUGACUUAUAACAGGUGAUAUAUGUAAUGUUCAACAAUACUGCCAGGUGUGGAGGCAAUGCCUAUAAUCCCAGUCUUUCAUGAGGCUGAGGCAGGAGGAUUGCAAGUUCCAGGUCAGCCUCAGCAAUUUAGCAAGGCCCUAAG